rnacentral:rRNA from 1 species
UACGUAGGGGGCGAGCGUUGUCCGGAUUUAUUGGGCGUAAAGAGCGUGUAGGCGGCCAGGUAGGUCUGCUGUGAAAACUCGAGGCUCAACCUCGAGACGUCGGCGGAAACCAUCUGGCUAGAGUCCGGAAGAGGAGAGUGGAAUUCCUGGUGUAGCGGUGAAAUGCGCAGAUAUCAGGAAGAACACCCGUGGCGAAGGCGGCUCUCUGGGACGGUACUGACGCUGAGACGCGAAAGCGUGGGAGCGAACAG